AUACGUAGGGGGCUAGCGUUGUCCGGAAUCAUUGGGCGUAAAGCGCGUGUAGGCGGUCCGGUAAGUCCGCUGUGAAAGUCGGGGGCUCAACCCUCGGAUGCCGGUGGAUACUGUCGGGCUUGAGUACGGAAGAGGCGAGUGGAAUUCCUGGUGUAGCGGUGAAAUGCGCAGAUAUCAGGAGGAACACCAAUUGCGAAGGCAGCUCGCUGGGACGUUACUGACGCUGAGACGCGAAAGCGUGGGGAGCAAACA
rnacentral:rRNA from 1 species